AUGCUAAUACCGCAUACGUCCUACGGGAGAAAGCAGGGGAUCUUCGGACCUUGCGCUAAUAGAUGAGCCUAAGUCGGAUUAGCUAGUUGGUGGGGUAAAGGCCUACCAAGGCGACGAUCUGUAGCGGGUCUGAGAGGAUGAUCCGCCACACUGGGACUGAGACACGGCCCAGACUCCUACGGGAGGCAGCAGUGGGGAAUAUUGGACAAUGGGCGCAAGCCUGAUCCAGCCAUGCCGCGUGUGUGAAGAAGGCCUUAUGGUUGUAAAGCACUUUAAGCGAGGAGGAGGCUACUUUAGAUAAUACCUAGAGAUAGUGGACGUUACUCGCAGAAUAAGCACCGGCUAACUCUGUGCCAGCAGCCGCGGUAAUACAGAGGGUGCAAGCGUUAAUCGGAUUUACUGGGCGUAAAGCGCGCGUAGGCGGCUAAUUAAGUCAAAUGUGAAAUCCCCGAGCUUAACUUGGGAAUUGCAUUCGAUACUGGUUAGCUAGAGU
rnacentral:rRNA from 1 species